UACGGAGGGUGCAAGCGUUAUCCGGAAUCACUGGGUUUAAAGGGGGCGUAGGCGGCUUGGUAAGUCAGAGGUGAAAGCUUCCCGCUUAACGGGAGAACUGCCUUUGAUACUGCCAGGCUUGAAUCGGCGCGAGGCAGGCGGAAUGUGACAUGUAGCGGUGAAAUGCUUAGAUAUGUCAUAGAACACCGAUUGCGAAGGCAGCCUGCCAGAGCCGAAUUGACGCUGAGGCACGAAAGCGUGGGGAGCGAACAGG
rnacentral:rRNA from 1 species